CUGAGAGGGAGAAGACAUUCGAGAGCAGGCAGGGAAAAAGCUAAAAAUUCAGAAAGUUGCAACUUAGUAUCAAACGUACCUUCUCGGUGCAAUGAAGGAAAAAUAUGUCCAUAAAUGGAGGAUUCAAGAAAGAAGCAGCAUUUGGAUGGUCAAAGUGACGCUUCCAGAGGAAUUGAAGAUAGAGAAAGAGGAGGGAAAUCUAUGUCACCCCAAUCCAAGUAUGCCCUUCCGAAGCAGUUAAAGCGGGUAAGGUUAGCUAUCAGCAUGCUGGAACACCACAAUCAUCAGCAAGAGAUGUACCUGGAAUAGCAGCUUCGAGAGGCCAAAUACUCCAUCCUCUAACAUUCUGGAGUUUGAAGGUCAGUGGCACAAAGGAAAGAAAGAGUGCAGAAGGUAGGAAGCAGCAAGUCUACCUUUUUCUUGCAUUCCAUGAUGCAUCAUGUCUAUUAGGAAUCUAUUUCUUUUGUAAGAUUGUUUCUCCCCCUUUGCCUGGUAUUUUGACAUGAUCAGAUAUUCGAGUUUACAUCGAAGAUCAAAGAAUUCAUCAAAGCGCAUAAGUGAUAUUGACUUUUGGAGACCA